rnacentral:rRNA from 1 species
ACUCAAAGGAAUAGACGGGGGCCCGCACAAGCGGUGGAGGAUGUGGUUUAAUUCGACGCAACGCGAAGAACCUUACCAAGGCUUGACAUCUACCGAAUGCUUUGGAAACAGAGCAGUGCCCGAAAGGGAGCGGUAAGACAGGUGGUGCAUGGCUGUCGUCAGCUCGUGUCGUGAGAUGUUGGGUUAAGUCCCGCAACGAGCGCAACCCUCGAUGUUAGUUACCAUCAUUCAGUUGGGGACUCUAACGUGACUGCCGGUGAUAAGCCGGAGGAAGGUGAGGACGACGUCAAGUCAUCAUGCCCCUUACGUCUUGGGCUACACACGUCCUACAAUGGUAUAGACAAAGGGCUGCAAGCUAGCGAUAGUGAGCGAAUCCCAUAAACUAUAUCUCAGUUCGGAUUGUAGGCUGCAACUCGCCUACAUGAAGUCGGAAUCGCUAGUAACCGUAGAUCAGCAUGCUACGGUGAAUACGUUCCCGGGCCUUGUACACACCGCCCGU